GCGCUCUUAGUUCAGUUGGUAGAACGUAGGUCUCCAAAACCUAAUGUCGUAGGUUCAAGUCCUACAGAGCGUG
rnacentral:tRNA from 2 species